GCUCUUUCACAAACCGCGAAGGGCGCCUAUAUCAGCCUCGUCAGCUUGCUGACUAUGGCGAUAAACGGUGCGUGGAAUAAGCGUUGUGGACCCGGGGGCGGUACCCGGCGCCUCCAUAUUCUCUUGCGGCCCUUCGGGGCCGCCGCGGCCUGAUUCAGACUUCGCGGCGUUCGCCGCUACGUCAUCAGGACGCGAUCACGGGGGGAUUUGCGGGGGCGAAAUAGACUCGACACGCGUGGUAAAGACCCAUCUUUUGCCCGGCAUUGUACCGCCGUUAUCGGGCUAAUUUUUAAAUGCGAACGAUAACAACGUUGCAUUCGCUGCAGCUGCCUAAUCAGUAGCUAAAGCGCGGCUCGGGGGGCGCCGGGCAACAGAAGCCCCCCACU
rnacentral:tmRNA from 1 species